GACGAACGCUGGCGGCGUGCUUAACACAUGCAAGUCGAACGGAAAGGCCCUGCCUUUGUGGGGUGCUCGAGUGGCGAACGGGUGAGUAACACGUGAGUAACCUGCCCUUGACUUUGGGAUAACUUCAGGAAACUGGGGCUAAUACCGGAUAGGAGCUCCUGCUGCAUGGUGGGGGUUGGAAAGUUUCGGCGGUUGGGGAUGGACUCGCGGCUUAUCAGCUUGUUGGUGGGGUAGUGGCUUACCAAGGCUUUGACGGGUAGCCGGCCUGAGAGGGUGACCGGCCACAUUGGGACUGAGAUACGGCCCAGACUCCUACGGGAGGCAGCAGUGGGGAAUAUUGCACAAUGGGCGGAAGCCUGAUGCAGCAACGCCGCGUGCGGGAUGACGGCCUUCGGGUUGUAAACCGCUUUCGCCUGUGACGAAGCGUGAGUGACGGUAAUGGGUAAAGAAGCACCGGCUAACUACGUG
rnacentral:rRNA from 1 species